rnacentral:rRNA from 1 species
GACGUAGGGCGCGAGCGUUGUCCGGAUUUAUUGGGCGUAAAGGGCUCGUAGGCGGUCUGUCGCGUCGGGAGUGAAAACUCAGGGCUUAACCCUGAGCCUGCUUCCGAUACGGGCAGACUAGAGGUAUGCAGGGGAGAACGGAAUUCCUGGUGUAGCGGUGGAAUGCGCAGAUAUCAGGAGGAACACCGGUGGCGAAGGCGGUUCUCUGGGCAUUACCUGACGCUGAGGAGCGAAAGUGUGGGGAGCGAACAGG